rnacentral:rRNA from 1 species
UACGUAGGUGGCAAGCGUUGUCCGGAUUUAUUGGGUUUAAAGGGUGCGUAGGCGGCCUUGUAAGUCAGUGGUGAAAUACGGUAGCUUAACUAUCGAGGUGCCAUUGAUACUGCAGAGCUUGAGUACAGAUGAGGUAGGCGGAAUUGACGGUGUAGCGGUGAAAUGCUUAGAUAUCGUCAAGAACACCUAUAGCGAAGGCAGCUUACUAGGCUGUAACUGACGCUGAGGCACGAAAGUGUGGGGAUCAAACAGG